rnacentral:rRNA from 1 species
CACGUAGGGCGCAAGCGUUGUCCGGAAUUAUUGGGCGUAAAGAGCUCGUAGGCGGUCUGUUGCGUCCGCUGUGAAAACUCGGGGCUUAACCCCGAGCCUGCAGUGGAUACGGGCAGACUAGAGGUAGGUAGGGGAGAAUGGAAUUCCCCGGUGUAGCGGUGAAAUGCGCAGAUAUCGGGAGGAACACCGGUGGCGAAGGCGGCCUUCUGGACAGUGACUGACGCUGAGACGCGAAAGCGUGGGGAGCAAACAGG